UUUUUUGACCAUUUUUUCAAAAUAACUUGAAAUCCUAUUCCUAACCCACUUACUGGCUGUAAAUUAGAAGCACUGAAAUGAAAAUUAAGCAAUUUAAUCAUCUGUGGAACGGGCAGGACUCGAAAAACUCCAGCCAAUCAUUUUCAAGACCAUCUAGAAUCAUUGGACAGAAAAUGUGUCAAUCAAACGGUCAUACCAUGCCCCCCUCCCCCCACCACCCUGGCGCGCGUGUCCCGUUCGUGCGCAUACUCAAAGCUCGUGACCCAGUAACAGGAAGCGAUUGUAUUUAUGUAUGGAGAAUAGAGCUUUUAUAGUGCUAGUGGGGUUGUUCCACAUUUCUAUGAAUCCUGUUUUGAAUAGAAGACCGCUGUACAGACGCCAGGGCUGGCUAUGUUCUUUUUUUUUACAGUUAUGAGAAAAUCAGCUCUACACCUUUCAAGAGUGGUAUGCGAACCCCUCCUCCUGCUGUGUCAACAAUUUGCUCUGAAAAAUUGUCUGACAGGUGAAUGCACUGUUUGACUAGUGAGUCUAGAACACUGCUAGAACACUGCACAUCUGAGUUUUCGCUCGUGCAUGAUUGCGCGUCCAUGUUUUUCGAAUGGGUGGAGUCAGGGCCAGCGUUGGAGGAGAGAAGAUUUAAAGCUUAUGGUGCAUGUGCAGAAGAGCAUGGGAACAGAGCAGAGAGACAUGCAAGUUCAGUUCGGCUGGCGAAUUAAAGGGAGAGUCUCCUGACUCCUGUCAAAUCAAAUCACACACCUGAACAGCAGCAACAGAUUUGGCGCCAUCUGUUCAAGCGCAG